AUUCCAGCUCCAAUAGCGUAUAUUAAAGUUGUUGCAGUUAAAAAGCUCGUAGUUGGAUUUCUGUUCUCGAGGAUCGGUCCGCCUCACGGUGAGCACUGGUUUUUCUUGGGGACAUCCUCUCGAAGGCGGGUGGUGCACUUAAUUGUGUGCUGCUUGGAUUCGGGACCUUUACUUUGAAAAAAUUAGAGUGUUCAAAGCAGGCGUCGGCUUGAAUACAUUAGCAUGGAAUAAUGGAAUAGGACUUUGGUUCUAUUUUGUUGGUUUCUAGGACUGAAGUAAUGAUUGAUAGGGAUAGUUGGGGGUGCUAGUAUUCAGCGGCCAGAGGUGAAAUUCUUGGAUUCGCCGAAGACUAACUUAUGCGAAAGCAUUCGCCAAGGAUGUCUUCAUCA
rnacentral:rRNA from 1 species